GGGUUGUGAGGUUAAGCGACUAAGCGUACACGGUGGAUGCCCUGGCAGUCAGAGGCGAUGAAGGACGUGCUAAUCUGCGAAAAGCGUCGGUAAGGUGAUAUGAACCGUUAUAACCGGCGAUGUCCGAAUGGGGAAACCCAGUG
rnacentral:rRNA from 3 species